UACGUAGGGUGCAAGCGUUGUCCGGAAUUAUUGGGCGUAAAGAGCUCGUAGGCGGUUUGUCGCGUCGGCUGUGAAAACCUGAGGCUCAACCUCGGGCCUGCAGUCGAUACGGGCAAACUAGAGUUCGGUAGGGGAGACUGGAAUUCCUGGUGUAGCGGUGGAAUGCGCAGAUAUCAGGAGGAACACCAAUGGCGAAGGCAGCUCGCUGGGACGGUACUGACGCUGAGACGCGAAAGCGUGGGGAGCAAACAGG
rnacentral:rRNA from 1 species